CCUACGGGUGGCAGCAGUGGGGAAUAUUGGUCAAUGGGCGGGAGCCUGAACCAGCCAAGCCGCGUGAGGGAAGAAGGUACAGCGUAUCGUAAACCUCUUUUGUCAGGGAACAAAGGCGGGGACUAGUCCCCGGAUGAGGGUACCUGAAGAAAAAGCAUCGGCUAACUCCGUGCCAGCAGCCCCGGUAAUACGGAGGAUGCGGGCGUUAUCCGGAUUUAUGGGGUUAAAGGGGUGCGCAGGGGGACUGUUAAGUCAGCGGUAAGAGCCGGGGGCUCAACCCCGGCGAGCCGUGGAAACUGGGGGGCUGGAGUUGGAGAGAAGUACGCGGAAUGCGCGGUGUAGCGGUGAAAUGCUUAGAUAUCGCGCAGAACCCCGAUUGCGAAGGCAGCGUACCGGCUCGACACUGACGCUGAGGCACGAAAGCGUGGGUAUCGAACAGGAUUAGAUACCCCAGUAGUC
rnacentral:rRNA from 1 species